rnacentral:misc_RNA from 1 species
GAUGAAGAACGCAGCGAAAUGCGAUAAGUAGUGUGAAUUGCAGAAUUCAGUGAAUCAUCGAAUCUUUGAACGCACAUUGCGCCCUUUGGUAUUCCUUAGGGCAUGCCUGUUCGAGCGUCAUUUAAACCUUCAAGCUAAGCUUGGUGUUGGGUGACUGUCCGCUUCACGGCGGACUCGCCUCAAAAUUAUUGGCGGCCGGUACAUUGGCUUCGAGCGCAGCAGAAACGCGAACUCGGGCCCGUCGUAUUGGCUCCCAGAAGCUAUCUUCACAAUUUUGACCUCGGAUCAGGUAGGGAUACCCGCUGAACUUAAGUAUAUCAAUAAGCGGAGGA